GGGAAUGUGGCUUAGUAGUAUAGUGCUUGCCUGGCAUGCAUGAAGCCCUGGGUUCAAUUCCUCAGUACCA
rfam:Dipodomys ordii contig_26900, whole genome shotgun sequence.